rnacentral:rRNA from 1 species
UCUACGGGAGGCAGCAGUGGGGGAUAUUGCACAAUGGGGGAAACCCUGAUGCAGCGACGCCGCGUGUGGGAAGACGGUCCUCUGGAUUGUAAACCACUGUCCCCAGGGACGAAGAUGACGGUACCUGGGGCGGAAGCUCCGGCUAACUACGUGCCAGCAGCCGCGGUAAUACGUAGGGAGCGAGCGUUGUCCGGAAUUACUGGGUGGAAAGGGAGCGUAGGCGGGACUGCAAGUUGGGUGUCAAAUCUACCGGCUCAACCGGUAGCCGCACUCAAAACUGCAGUUCUUGAGUGAAGUAGAGGCAGGCGGAAUUCCUAGUGUAGCGGUGAAAUGCGUAGAUAUUAGGAGGAACACCAGUGGCGAAGGCGGCCUGCUGGGCUUUUACUGACGCUGAGGCUCGAAAGUGUGGGGAGCAAACAGGAUUAGAUACCCCAGUAGUC